AACGAACGCUGGCGGCAUGCCUAACACAUGCAAGUCGAACGAGACCUUCGGGUCUAGUGGCGCACGGGUGCGUAACGCGUGGGAAUCUGCCCUUGGGUUCGGGAUAACAGUUGGAAACGACUGCUAAUACCGGAUGAUGUCUUCGGACCAAAGAUUUAUCGCCCAGGGAUGAGCCCGCGUCGGAUUAGCUAGUUGGUGAGGUAAAGGCUCACCAAGGCGACGAUCCGUAGCUGGUCUGAGAGGAUGAUCAGCCACACUGGGACUGAGACACGGCCCAGACUCCUACGGGAGGCAGCAGUGGGGAAUAUUGGAAAAUGGGCGAAAGCCUGAUCCAGCAAUGCCGCGUGAGUGAUGAAGGCCUUAGGGUUGUAAAGCUCUUUUACCCGGGAUGAUAAUGACAGUACCGGGAGAAUAAGCCCCGGCUAACUCCGUGCCAGCAGCCGCAGUAAUAC
rnacentral:rRNA from 1 species